UACGAAGGGGGCUAGCGUUGUUCGGAUUUACUGGGCGUAAAGCGCACGUAGGCGGACUAUUAAGUCAGGGGUGAAAUCCCGGGGCUCAACCCCGGAACUGCCUUUGAUACUGGUAGUCUUGAGUUCGAGAGAGGUGAGUGGAAUUCCGAGUGUAGAGGUGAAAUUCGUAGAUAUCUGGAGGAAUACCGGUGGCGAAGGCGGCAUCCUGGACCGGCAUUGACGCUGAUGAGCGAAAGCUAGGGGAGCAAACAGG
rnacentral:rRNA from 1 species